UUCUUUUCUAGCUAUUAAUUCUUUGGGGAUCGGGGAAACUAGAAGACAUGGAAAAUACAGUGGGAGGGCAAUAUAAAGGUCAAGAUUGGCCAAGAUUCUGUGUUGAUAAAUAUUUAUUUCCACAUCUGUUUUCUAUGUGUUCCCUUUCUCUUUUCCUUCUCCCUUCUAACCCAACACACAGACAAAAGGAAGUGGAGGCUUAAACAAUUAACUGGUGACUGCAGGACUGGUUGUUUAAGAAUCUGGAUAACUGAGUUCUAAUUUCUCCAUUCCUUCUACAAUUUGGUAAAUUAAAAAACAUUUUUGUGAUGCAGUCUCAUUUAUGGCAGUUAAGGACCAUAGUCAAAGGCUGGAAUUAAUUUCUAAUUAGUCUGAAGGAACAAUAUGUUACCUGGAUCAGAAAGAGAAUGCCAAAGUUGGAGAAUGAGUCACUUCUGCUGCCGUCAGAGCUGUUCCAGGAGCCUACGAAACUGAAGUCCAUGUUUCAGGCACUCACUACCUUUGAUGCAUUUGAUGAGGAGCCUCAAACAGUGGAUUCCUCCUGGUUUGGCAGCCAAGAAAAGAUUUAUUUCGGUGUUUACACCUGCUGGAAAAUUGGGAAUUCCAGACAUCUCACAGUGUCCAGACCAGUUUUCUUUACAAAUCUGGGAUGCAGCACCCUCUUUUGAAAAACAGAGAUCAGUUCUUAGACUUUGUACAUUUAUACUAGUUUUACUUCAUUGGUACCAGGGUGACUUGAAUUCUUGAAAAGGAUGCAGUUUCCUAGAAACUUUUAGAAGAAAAGCAUUAAAAUAAAAGUUGACCAUUGAAUGGCUGGGAUUUUCUGCAUCAAUGGAUCUGGUGCACUUAAUGGGCAUUGAACUGUUCCAACUGAACCAUAUUCUUUCAUUUCAAAUAAGUUGAUUUUUUAAACAGUAAAUUGUGAGAAUGAGAAAUUUUGAAGGGGCAGUGGCAAAAUUGUAGGUGAGAUGUGCUUAUUUAUCGUAACUUAUUAUGUUUAAUCAAAAUUACAUUAGUACCCAACUUUCUUAGGAUUAAAGACCAAGUAAUAUAAUGAAAUAAGAAUUAGGAAAUCAGGACCCUGAUCACUAUUUGAAUUUCUACCAUUUUAUUACAUCAGAUAUAUCACAAACUUUAUCUAAUGUUUGGUGAAUGUGGUCCAUGAUCCCUAGUAACUGUGUUUUAAUAAUAAUGAUUUAAUAGUAACACUUACCAUUUAUUGAAGAUAAACUAUAUGCUUAAUUACAAUCUUAACUCAUUAAUGACUUUCUAAAUAGCCUUUCCCCUAUAAACCGAUUAUAAUAAUGGUCACUUGUUAUAGCCCAUAUGUCUAUAGUCCUUUAUAUUUACAAGGCAUAUUCUAUAUAUUUUUUCAUUAACCUAUUCAGUUCUUUAUU